CUCAAUAUAGUUAAAAGAUCUUCUUGAAAUAUACUCUAAUCGCCUGCAGAAACCCACCCUUUCAUCUCGAUUUAUAUCUGUAAAAUUCAGGAAAAACUGAUGAACAUGAUACUCUACUGGGCAAAAAGCGUUGCCUUAUUGUUUGAUUCAUGGAAGACUAAUCCAAUAUUUGCCAUGGCCAUAAUUUUUCUAUUUUCCGCCCUCGUCGGCGUCUUCAAGUACCUGACGGACUCCUUGAUCAGAACCAAGCUUCUUGAUCCUCUGCUGAAAUCUAAACUGAGGUAUGGUGGGAAAUUGUCGAAAUUCCUUGGCGCUAUAGCGUUCCUAGUCAAUUGUGCUGUCGCAUACAUGAUAGGCCUUGCAUUUGGAUAUUUCAUGAACAAAAGCUGAUCUGCAAGUUUUGUUGAUAAUCCAGGUGCAGAUUCGGUAUUCUAUCCCCUACAUUUCUAUGUAAAAUGUAUUGUAUUUUAUACUGCAUCUUGUUGUUGGCUGUUUGUGUGGAAUUUGACAUAUACCUUGUACUUUAGUACUCCAUUUUGUAAAUUGAUUUUUGAAUCACUUAAAAA
rnacentral:lncRNA from 1 species